CUGUGGCUGCUUGUGGGAAGAUCAUUGUUGGUAAUGGAGCAUCAGUCCACUUAACGAGUCCCACUGUGUUCUAUCUGGGAGCAGCUUUGGGAAUCUGUGUGAUGGUGAUCUGCAUUCAAGCCAUUCAAAUCUGCAGGGGGAGAGAUCAUGAUUCGGUGGUGGAGAACAAAGCCAGUCAGGUACUACAUGUUCUCUCAUCCACACUGACGCUGUUUAAUUCUUAUAGAGUUCUCUAAUCUUCAGCCUUUAAUAUUUCAUAUUCAUCUCUACAGA